AGAGUUUGAUCCUGGCUCAGAGCGAACGCUGGCGGCAGGCUUAACACAUGCAAGUCGAGCGGGCGUAGCAAUACGUCAGCGGCAGACGGGUGAGUAACGCGUGGGAACAUACCUUUUGGUUCGGAACAACACAGGGAAACUUGUGCUAAUACCGGAUAAGCCCUUACGGGGAAAGAUUUAUCGCCGAAAGAUUGGCCCGCGUCUGAUUAGCUAGUUGGUGAGGUAACGGCUCACCAAGGCGACGAUCAGUAGCUGGUCUGAGAGGAUGAUCAGCCACAUUGGGACUGAGACACGGCCCAAACUCCUACGGGAGGCAGCAGUGGGGAAUUUUGGACAAUGGGGGCAACCCUGAUCCAGCCAUGCCGCGUGAGUGAAGAAGGCCUUCGGGUUGUAAAGCACUUUCAGUAGGGAGGAAGAGUUGAGUGUUAAUAGUACUCAGCUUUGACGUUACCUACAGAAGAAGCACCGGCUAACUCUGUGCCAGCAGCCGCGGUAAUACAGAGGGUGCAAGCGUUAAUCGGAAUUACUGGGCGUAAAGCGCACGUAGGCGGUUUUUUAAGUCAGAUGUGAAAGCCCCGGGCUCAACCUGGGAAUUGCAUUUGAAACUGGAAAACUAGAGUGUGUGAGAGGGGGGUAGAAUUCCAAGUGUAGCGGUGAAAUGCGUAGAGAUUUGGAGGAAUACCAGUGGCGAAGGCGGCCCCCUGGCACAACACUGACGCUCAGGUGCGAAAGCGUGGGGAGCAAACAGGAUUAGAUACCCUGGUAGUCC
rnacentral:rRNA from 1 species